rnacentral:tRNA from 1 species
GGGUCGGCAACGGGCAUGUGGCGAGCCCAACGGUCUGUAAAACCGCCGCGAAAGCUCUGGGGGUUCGACUCCCUCCCGGCCCACCA